CAGCGGGAAGCCAUAUGGCGACAUAGAGCGGAACCCGAAAACCUGUCUCAGUUCGGAUUGGAGUCUGCAACCCGACUCCAUGAAGCUGGAUUCGCUAGUAAUCGCGCAUCAGCUACGGCGCGGUGAAUACGUUCCCGGGCCUUGUACACACCGCCCGUCAAGCCAUGGAAGCCGGGAGUGCCUGAAGUGCGUGAGCGCAAGCAGCGCCCUAAGGUAAAACCGGUGACUGGGGCUAAGUCGUAACAAGGUAAC
rnacentral:rRNA from 1 species